UACGGGGGGGGGCAAGCGUUGUUCGGAAUUACUGGGCGUAAAGGGCUCGUAGGCGGCCAACUAAGUCAUACGUGAAAUCCCCCGGCUUAACCUGGGAACUGCGUCUGAUACUGGAAGGCUUGAGGAUGGGAGAGGGAUGUAGAAUUCCAGGUGUAGCGGUGAAAUGCGUAGAUAUUCGGAGGAACACCGGUGGCGAAGGCGGCAUCCUGGACCGACACUGACGCUGAGGAGCGAAAGCCAGGGGAGCAAAGCGGGG
rnacentral:rRNA from 1 species